rnacentral:lncRNA from 1 species
AUGUUGACUACUAAAUUCCUUUGGCAGGAUAAACAUCCACGAAUUAGCUUAAAAACACUUCAUAAGACCAAAGACAGAGGAGGACUGGAUUUACCCAACUUUUAUUAUUAUUUCUUAGCCUACAGGCUGCAAUAUAUACCAAGAUGGUUGCAAGAUAACCCACUAUAUGAGUCCUGGUUACAUAUAGAACAGACACUUUGCAAUACGAUAGAGCUUUCAGACUUACCAUUUUUUAGCUCAAGCAUAAGAAAACAUGAAAGCUUCAAAAGUAUUAGUAUCAGCACCUCUCUGACAGCAUGGUGGGAGUAUCUAAAAAUGAGACAGUCUUCACUAGUACCAUGCAGACGCACACCUAUCUGGAAUAAUCCUGAUAUUUUGCAAAAUAACCAAAUGAUGAACCUUCCGGACUGGAAAAAUAAAGGAAUCCUAUACCUGGAUCAAUUAUAUGAAGGAUUGGACUUCAUCCCAUUUAAUCGAACAGUCUCCCAAUUUGGAAUGGAUAAGAAUAGCUUUUUAGAAUAUCACCAAAUUAAAUCUGUAGUCAAACAAAAAUUUAAGCUCAAUAAAAUAGAAUUACAAACACCACCAAGGGUAUUUGACUUCUAUAAUCUCAAACCCCCCAAACUACUGUCUAAAGUAUAUAAGACACUGUCCAAAAUAGACGAUACAAUUGCAAUCCCUAUUGAAAAAUGGGAGGUGGAUCUAUCAGUUAGCUUUGACCAGAACUUCUGGUCCCAAACUUGUUUAAAAACUUUUAAAAUGAUCAGACACCCCAAUUUACAAUUAAUUCAGUACAAAAGUCUACAGAGAGUACACUAUACAGGUCAUCGGAUGUUCAAGAUGGGGUUUGUGUCAUCUGAUGCAUGUACACACUGCACAAACCACAUUCCUGACAAUUACAUUCACGCACUGUGGUCCUGUCCACCUGUCCAGGUAUUUUGGGGUAGAGUAUGUAAGGAUCUGUCAAAAUGUCUGAAAUGUCAUAUCCCAAUGUCCCCCUCUCUUUGUUUACUGGGAAACCUGGACGAUGUCCCGAUUGAAAUAUCUUUGGUUCACGUAAUUCUGACUGCCAUGUGCGUCGCUAAGAAAACUAUCCUCUUGAAUUGGAAAAAUAGAGAAACUCUCUGCAUUAACCAGUAUAGAAAUCUUUUGUUAGAUCAUAUUACGCUUGAUUUAGCCUCUGCUUCCACUUCAAAUCAAUCUCUCUGGGCUCCUUUGAUCGGUUCCAUCACAUAG